GACGAACCACCCGAACGUUAUUCGGAAUCACUGGGCUUAAAGAGUGCGUAGGCGGCCUUGAAAGUUAGGUGUGAAAUCCCACAGCUCAACUGUGGAACUGCGCUUAAAACUAUGAGGCUAGAGGGAUAUAGGGGUGAGCGGAACUGAUGGUGGAGCGGUGAAAUGCGUUGAUAUCAUCAGGAACACCGGCGGCGAAGGCGGCUCACUGGGUAUCUUCUGACGCUGAGGUACGAAAGCUAGGGGAGCGAACGGG
rnacentral:rRNA from 1 species